AGCUAGGUUCUCUAAGGUCCCUCAGCUAAACUAGCCUAAGCUAAGCUAAGCUAAGCUAGGUCCUCUAAGGUCCCUCAGGUACUCUAGCCUAAGCUAAGUUACGCUACGUCCUCUAAGGUCCCUCAGCUACUCUAGCCUAAGCUAUGCUACGCUAUGUCCUCUAAGGUCCCUCAGCUACUCUAGCCUAAGCUAUGCUACGCUAUGUCCUCUAAGGUCCCUCAGCUACUCUAGCCUAAGCUAAGCUACGCUAGGUCCUCUAAGGUCACUCAGCUACUCUAGCCUAAGCUAAGCUACGCUAGGUCCUCUAAGGUCCCUCAGCUACUCU